rnacentral:misc_RNA from 1 species
GUGAAUCAUCAAAUCUUUGAACGCAAAUUGCACUCUCUGGUAUUCCGGAGAGUAUGCCUGUUUGAGGCUCAGUUUAAAUACAAAUCGGUGUGGUUGCUGCCUUUCGUGGUGACGCACCGGAUUUGGUUCGUCUUGCCUUCGGUUACGUGAUCUAAAAUUUUUCUUGAUUUUUUCACACGUAUUUAAAUGAUUUUACGUCCGUUUGCGAUAUCGAAUACUAGGUGUGGU